CCUACGGGAGACAGCAGUGAGGAAUAUUGGUCAAUGGUCGGGAGACUGAACCAGCCAAGCCGCGUGAGGGAUGAAGGUACAGAGUAUCGUAAACCUCUUUUGUCAGGGAACAAAGGCGGGGACGUGUCCCCGGAUGAGUGUACCUGAAGAAAAAGCAUCGGCUAACUCCGUGCCAGCAGCCGCGGUAAUACGGAGGAUGCGAGCGUUAUCCGGAUUUAUUGGGUUUAACGGGUGCGCAGGCGGUCUGUUAAGUCAGCGGUAAAAGCCCGGGGCUCAACCCCGACCCGCCGUUGAAACUGGCAGUCUCGAGUUGGAGAGAAGUAUGCGGAAUGCGCGGGGUAGCGGUGAAAUGCAUAGAUAUCGCGCAGAACUCCGAUUGCGAAGGCAGCAUGCCGGCUCCACACUGACGCUGAGGCACGAAAGCGUGGGUAUCGAACAGGAUUAGAUACCCCUGUAGUC
rnacentral:rRNA from 1 species